CCUACGGGUGGCAGCAGUGAGGAAUAUUGGUCAAUGGAGGAAACCCUGAACCAGCAACGCCGCGUGAGGGAAGACGGUUUUCGGGUUGUAAACCUCUGUCCUCUGUGGAGAAAAUGACGGUAGCAGAGGAGGAAGCUCCGGCUAACUACGUGGCAGCAGCCGCGGUAAUACGUAAGGAGCAAGCGUUAUCCGGAUUUACUGGGUGUAAAGGGUGCGUAGGCGGCAUGUGAAGUCAGAAGUGAAAUCCAUGGGCGUAACCCGAGAACUGCAUUUGAAACUGGCGGUCUUGAGUGAAGUAGAGGUAGGCGGAAUUCGUGGUGUAGCGGUGAAAUGCGUAGAGAUCGGGAGGAACUCCGGUUGCGAAGGCGGCUUACUGGGCUGUAACUGACGUUGAAGCACGAAAGCGUGGGUAGCAAACAGGAUUAGAUACCCCAGUAGUC
rnacentral:rRNA from 1 species